AGGAUGAACGCUGGCGGCAUGCCUAAUACAUGCAAGUCGAACGAAGUGAAGAUAGCUUGCUAUUGGAACUUAGUGGCGAACGGGUGAGUAACACGUAGAUAACCUGCCUGUAUGACCGGGAUAACAGUUGGAAACGACUGCUAAUACCGGAUAGGCAGAGAGGAGGCAUCUCUUCUCUGUUAAAGUUGGGAUACAACGCAAACAGAUGGAUCUGCGGUGCAUUAGCUAGUUGGUGAGGUAACGGCCCACCAAGGCGAUGAUGCAUAGCCGGCCUGAGAGGGCGAACGGCCACAUUGGGACUGAGACACGGCCCAAACUCCUACGGGAGGCAGCAGUAGGGAAUUUUCGGCAAUGGGGGAAACCCUGACCGAGCAAUGCCGCGUGAGUGAAGACGGCCUUCGGGUUGUAAAGCUCUGUUGUAAGGGAAGAACGGCAUAGAGAGGGAAUGCUCUAUGAGUGACGGUACCUUACCAGAAAGCCACGGCUAACUACGUGCCAGCAGCCGCGGUAAUACGUAGGUGGCAAGCGUUAUCCGGAAUUAUUGGGCGUAAAGGGUGCGUAGGCGGCGAGAUAAGUCUGAGGUAAAAGCCCGUGGCUCAACCACGGUAAGCCUUGGAAACUGUCUGGCUGGAGUGCAGGAGAGGACAAUGGAAUUCCAUGUGUAGCGGUAAAAUGCGUAGAUAAUAUGGAGGAACACCAGUGGCGAAGGCGGUUGUCUGGCCUGUAACUGACGCUGAGGCACGAAAGCGUGGG
rnacentral:rRNA from 1 species